UACGUAGGGUGCGAGCGUUAAUCGGAAUUACUGGGCGUAAAGCGUGCGCAGGCGGUUUGUUAAGCCAGAUGUGAAAGCCCCGGGCUCAACCUGGGAACUGCGUUUGGUACUGGCAAGCUAGAGUACGGCAGAGGGGGGUGGAAUUCCACGUGUAGCAGUGAAAUGCGUAGAGAUGUGGAGGAACACCGAUGGCGAAGGCAGCCCCCUGGGCCGAUACUGACGCUCAUGCACGAAAGCGUUGGGAGCAAACAGG
rnacentral:rRNA from 1 species